CCUACGGGAGGCAGCAGUAAGGGAUAUUGGUCAAUGGGGGAAACCCUGAACCAGCAACGCCGCGUGAGGGAAGACGGUUUUCGGAUUGUAAACCUCUGUCCUCUGUGAAGAUGAUGCCGGUAGCAGAGGAUGAAGCUCCGUCUAACUACGUGCCAGCAACCGCGGUAAUACGGAGGGAGCGAGCGUUGUCCGGAUUUACUGGGUGUAAAGGGUGCGUAGGCGGUUUGGCAAGUGAGUAGUGAAAGCCAUGGGCUUAACCCAUGAACUGCUAUUGAAACUGUCGAGCUUGAGUGAAGUAGAGGGAGGCGGAAUGCCUGGUGUAGCGGUGAAAUGCGUAGAGAUCGGGAGGAACACCAGUGGCGAAGGCGGCCUACUGAGCUUUAACUGACGCUGAGGCACGAAAGCGUGGGUAGCAAACAGGAUUAGAUACCCGGGUAGUC
rnacentral:rRNA from 1 species